rnacentral:misc_RNA from 1 species
GAUGAAGAACGUAGCGAAAUGCGAUAAGUAAUGUGAAUUGCAGAAUCCCGUGAACCAUCGAGUCUUUGAACGCAAGUUGCGCCCGAAGCCAUUAGGCCGAGGGCACGCUUGCCUGGGCGUCACACGUCGUUGCCCCCCCAUCUACUCCUUCGGGAUUGCGGGGGGCGGAUGAUGGCCUCCCGUGCGCCUCGCCGCGCGGUUGGCAUAAAUGCCAAGUCCUCGGCGACGCACGCCACGACAAUCGGUGGUUGCGAAACCUCGGUUGCCCGUCGUGUGCGGUCGUCGCGCAUCGAGGGCUCGAAAAAAUUGCCGGGUUCCGGCUCGGCUUUCAACGCGACCCCAGGUCAGGCGGGGUUACCCGCUGAAUUUAAGCAUAUCAAUAAGCGGAGGA